rnacentral:rRNA from 1 species
UACGUAGGCAGCGAGCGUUGUUCGGAUUUACUGGGCGUAAAGGGCGCGUAGGCGGUAGCACAAGUCAGUUGUGAAAUCUCCGGGCUUAACUCGGAAAGGUCAACUGAUACUGUGCGACUAGAGUGCAGAAGGGGCAACUGGAAUUCUCGGUGUAGCGGUGAAAUGCGUAGAUAUCGAGAGGAACACCUGCGGCGAAGGCGGGUUGCUGGGCUGACACUGACGCUGAGGCGCGAAAGCCAGGGGAGCGAACGGG